CCGGAAAGGGGGGGAGCGUAGCCGUCCCGUCAAUUCAUUUGAGCUGCGGUUGCUGUCACACGUCCCGUCAAUUCAUUUGAGUUGCGGCUGCUGGCACACGUCCCGUCAAUUUCUUUGAGUUGGCGGCUGCUGGCACAGUUGCUAUGCGGCUGCUGGCACACGUCCCGUCAAUUUCUUUGAGUUGGCGGCUGCUGGCACAUCACUACCGCGGCUGCUGGCACACGUCCCGUCAAUUUAUUUGAGUUCCCGACAAUACAUCUGAGUCCCCGUCAAUUUCUUUGAGUUGGCGGCUGCUGGCAA
rnacentral:rRNA from 1 species